rnacentral:rRNA from 1 species
UGGGGAAUUUUGCGCAAUGGGGGAAACCCUGACGCAGCAACGCCGCGUGGGUGAUGAAGGCCUUCGGGUCGUAAAGCUCUGUCUGGAGGGAAGAAAUGAUUGGGAGCUAAUACCUCCUGAUCUUGACGGUACCUCUGAAGGAAGCACCGGCUAACUCCGUGCCAGCAGCCGCGGUAAUACGGAGGGUGCAAGCGUUGUUCGGAAUUAUUGGGCGUAAAGCGCGUGUAGGCGGUCUUUUAAGUCUGAUGUGAAAGCCCCGGGCUCAACCUGGGAAGUGCAUUGGNAACUGGGAGGCUUGAGUACGGGAGAGGAGAGUGGAAUUCCUAGUGUAGGAGUGAAAUCCGUAGAUAUUAGGAGGAACACCGGUGGCGAAGGCGGCUCUCUGGACCGAUACUGACGCUGAGACGCGAAAGCGUGGGUAGCAAACA